GUGAGGAAUUUUCCGCAAUGGGCGAAAGCCUGACGGAGCAAUGCCGCGUGAAGGAUGAAGGCCUAUGGGUUGUAAACUUCUUUUCUCAGAAAAGAAUUAUGACGGUAUCUGAGGAAUAAGCAUCGGCUAACUCUGUGCCAGCAGCCGCGGUAAGACAGAGGAUGCAAGCGUUAUCCGGAAUGAUUGGGCGUAAAGCGUCUGUAGGUUGUUUAAAAAGUAUUCUGUCAAAGAUUAGGGCUUAACCCUAGAUAGGCAGAAUAAACUUUUAAGCUAGAGUUUGGUAGAGGCAGAGGGAAUUCCCGGUGGAGCGGUGAAAUGCGUAGAUAUCGGGAGGAACACCAAAGGCGAAGGCACUCUGCUGGGCCAAUACUAACACUGAGAGACGAAAGCGAGGGGAGCAAAUGGGAUUAGAAACCCUGUAGUCC
rnacentral:rRNA from 1 species